GGAAAAUCAGCAACACGGCCAUGAGCUCUCAGGCGUGAUUGGAAGUGCUGGGACUUGCAGUGAGAUAGUUUGUAAAUCAGAUGGCCCCUAUUUUGCCAUGUCUUCAACAUUUGUGCGAAGGAAUCGUGGUACUCUGACAAGUGGACCCUUCUCUCAACAUCUCAUUCCUGACUUCCUGGGAGACACGUCACUGAUUGUACACCUGUCUGGACCCAGUUGGACUCCAUUUUCUCUCUCCAUCAGACAGUUGAGGUUAAUUUGAGUAGAAAACAAGGCCUGGAGACCCCACUUGGUGAGUGUGGUAAGUGAGUGCACAAGGCCGCCUUUGGGCG
rnacentral:lncRNA from 1 species